rnacentral:misc_RNA from 1 species
GAAAAACACGCUCUGUCGGUUUCUUUCUCUCUCUGUUUUCUCUACAUUUGCGCUUCUUUUUUCUCUCCGUUUUCUGUUUCCCUGCCCAUUUCCCUUGUUGGCUCUCUUUCUCUCUCCUUCUCUCUCAUUCUUUAUGUUCAAGAUAUGAUUAUAGCUUUACUGAGUCACAGCCGGGUGGAUUUCUUCUGCCUUUCUAGAACAACCCCUUAGCUUUCCUUCUCUCCCUCCUCUCUAUAAAGGAAAAACAAGGGUGGUUUUUGUUAUGAUGGAUGAUGUCGGGGAAAGGAAAUCAUUGCAUGAUAAAGAAGAAUACAAGAAUAUUGAGAUCAAGAAGUCUUGUACUGAUUGCAAAACUACCAGGACACCCUUGUGGAGAGGUGGACCUGCUGGGCCCAAGUCACUGUGCAAUGCAUGCGGGAUCAGAUACAGAAAGAAAAGAAGAGCAAUGUUGAGCUUAGACAAAGACAAGGAUUCAGACAAGAAAAAGAGAAGAGGCCAUAGCGCCACCACCCUUACCACUACCACUGCAAAUAGCAGCACAAUUGCUACCUCAGCCAGCAGCGUUAAUGAUGGUAGUGUAUUGGGGGAGUCAUUGAAGAUGAGACUAAUAGUAGUGGGUGAGAAAAUGAUGUUUGAAAGAUCAUCAAUAGUCAGGAAACAAAGGUGCCAAAGGAAGAGGAGACUGAGAGAGGAAGAACAAGCUGCUUUUUCUUUAAUGGCGUUGUCUUGUGGCUCAGUUCUUGCAUGAAACAGGAAAAGAAGAGAAACAGAAUGGGGAUAAAGCUGAACAACCUCUAGAGAACCCACAUACCUUUUCUUUGUCCGUUUUUUAUUAGUUUUUUUUUUUUCCUAGAAAAAAAAAGUUAGUAGUAGUUUUGUUAGUGUAGUGAAGGGGAUGCAAUGUUGUUAAUGGGUGUCUUUACCUUUCUUCUUCUCCAUUUUCAUAGGAAGAUGAUGAAGUGGUGAAGUAAUGGUGAUAUAGUGUAGAUAGUAUUUUCGGAAUUAUGAACGAAAUAUAUGUUCUCCUAGAUAUGGGAUUUUAUAAUUGUUUGCCUUUUUUUCUAAUUUCUAUCUCCUUUUCCAUGUGAGUUGUGACCUUCCAAGUAUAAUUCUUUAAUCUUUUAAAACUGCCAAAUUCUGUUGCUGCAAUUGAUCGGU